UACGUAGGUGGCAAGCGUUGUCCGGAUUUAUUGGGCGUAAAGAGCGUGUAGGCGGCCAUGUAGGUCCGUUGUGAAAACUCGAGGCUCAACCUCGAGACGCCGAUGGAAACCAUGUGGCUAGAGUCCGGAAGAGGAGAGUGGAAUUCCUGGUGUAGCGGUGAAAUGCGCAGAUAUCAGGAGGAACACCCGUGGCGAAAGCGGCUCUCUGGGACGGUACUGACGCUGAGACGCGAAAGCGUGGGGAGCAAACAGG
rnacentral:rRNA from 1 species